rnacentral:rRNA from 1 species
AGACAGCAGUAGCCGCGGUAAUACGGAGGGGGCAAGCGUUAUCCGGAAUUAUUGGGCGUAAAGGGUACGUAGGUGGCCUUUUAAGCGUAGGGUAUAAGGCAAUGGCUCAACCAUUGUUCGCCCUAUGAACUGGAAGGCUUGAGUGCAGGAGAGGAAAGCGGAAUUCCUAGUGUAGCGGUGGAAUGCAUAGAUAUUAGGAGGAACAUCAGCGGCGAAGGCGGCUUUCUGGACUGCAACUGACACUGAGGUACGAAAGCGUGGGGAGCAAACAGGAUUAGAUACCCCGGUAGUCCCUGUCUCUUAUACA